rnacentral:rRNA from 1 species
GAUGAACGCUGGCGGCGUGCCUAAUACAUGCCAGUCGAGCGAACGGACGAGAAGCUUGCUUCUCUGCUGUUAGCGGCGGACGGGUGAGUAACACGUGGAUAACCUACCUAUAAGACUGGGAUAACUUCGGGAAACCGGAUCUAAUACCGGAUCAUAUUUUGAACCGCAUGGUUCAAAAGUGAAAGACGGUCUUGCUGUCACUUAUAGAUGGAUCCGCGCUGCAUUAGCUAGUUGGUAAGGUAACGGCUUACCAAGGCAACGAUGCAUAGCCGACCUGAGAGGGUGAUCGGCCACACUGGAACUGAGACACGGUCCAGACUCCUACGGGAGGCAGCAGUAGGGAAUCUUCCGCAAUGGGCGAAAGCCUGACGGAGCAACGCCGCGUGAGUGAUGAAGGUCUUCGGAUCGUAAAACUCUGUUAUUAGGGAAGAACAUAUGUGUAAGUAACUGUGCACAUCUUGACGGUACCUAAUCAGAAAGCCACGGCUAACUACGUG